GCUAGCUACAGGCUUAACACAUGCAAGUCGAGGGGCAUCAGUUUGGUUUGCUUGCAAACCAAAGCUGGCGACCGGCGCACGGGUGAGUAACACGUAUCCAACCUGCCUCAUACUCGGGGAUAGCCUUUCGAAAGAAAGAUUAGUAUCCGAUAGCAUAUAUUUCCCGCAUGGGUUUUAUAUUAAAGAAAUUCGGUAUGAGAUGGGGAUGCGUUCCAUUAGUUUGUUGGCGGGGUAACGGCCCACCAAGACUACGAUGGAUAGGGGUUCUGAGAGGAAGGUCCCCCACAUUGGAACUGAGACACGGUCCAAACUCCUACGGGAGGCAGCAGUGAGGAAUAUUGGUCAAUGGACGCGAGUCUGAACCAGCCAAGUAGCGUGAAGGAUGACUGCCCUAUGGGUUGUAAACUUCUUUUAUAUGGGAAUAAAGUGGUCCACGUGUGGAUUUUUGUAUGUACCAUAUGAAUAAGGAUCGGCUAACUCCGUGCCAGCAGCCGCGGUAAUACGGAGGAUCCGAGCGUUAUCCGGAUUUAUUGGGUUUAAAGGGAGCGUAGGCGGAUUGUUAAGUCAGUUGUGAAAGUUUGCGGCUCAACCGUAAAAUUGCAGUUGAUACUGGCAGUCUUGAGUGCAGUAGAGGUGGGCGGAAUUCGUGGUGUAGCGGUGAAAUGCUUAGAUAUCACGAAGAACUCCGAUUGCGAAGGCAGCUCACUGGAGUGUACUGACGCUGAUG
rnacentral:rRNA from 1 species